CAAUAGCGUAUAUUAAAGUUGUUGCAGUUAAAAAGCUCGUAGUUGGAUUUGUGGUUCGUCCCGCCGGCUGGGUCAUUGACCUUUGCUGUGCUGGUCGUCCAUCCUUGGGUGGAAUCUGUGUGGCAUUAGGUUGUCGCGCAGGGGAUGCCCAUCGUUUACUGUGAAAAAAUUAGAGUGUUCAAAGCAGGCUUAUGCCGUUGAAUAUAUUAGCAUGGAAUAAUGAUAUAGGACCUUGGUACUAUUUUGUUGGUUUGCGCACUGAGGUAAUGAUUAAUAGGGACAGUUGGGGGUAUUCGUAUUCCAUUGUAAGAGGUGAAAUUCUUGGAUUUUUGGAAGACGGACUACUGCGAAAGCAUUUACCAAGGAUGUUUUCAUUA
rnacentral:rRNA from 1 species